rnacentral:miRNA from 13 species
CGUCUUACCCCGCCGUGUUGGG